CAAUCGACUUCCAAUCCCUAGAUUCUGGUGAAACCCCAGAGAAGAGUA
rnacentral:tRNA from 1 species